rnacentral:rRNA from 1 species
GGCUCAGGACGAACGCUGGCGGCGUGCCUAACACAUGCAAGUCGAGCGAGGAGAUUCCUCGGGAUGAUCCUAGCGGCGGACGGGUGAGUAACACGUGGGCAACCUGCCUCAUAGAGAGGAAUAGCCUUCCGAAAGGGAGAUUAAUACCUCAUAACAUUGCAGUUUCGCAUGGAACAGCAAUUAAAGGAGUAAUCCGCUAUGAGAUGGGCCCGCGGCGCAUUAGCUAGUUGGUGAGGUAAUGGCUCACCAAGGCGACGAUGCGUAGCCGACCUGAGAGGGUGAUCGGCCACAUUGGGACUGAGACACGGCCCAGACUCCUACGGGAGGCAGCAGUGGGGAAUAUUGCACAAUGGGGGAAACCCUGAUGCAAGCAACGCCGCGUGAGUGAUGACGGCCUUCGGGUUGUAAAGCUCUGUCUUCAGGGACGAUAAUGACGGUACCUGAGGAGGAAGCCACGGCUAACUACGUGCCAGCCGCAGC